rnacentral:rRNA from 1 species
UACGUAGGGGCAAGCGUUGUCCGGAAUCAUUGGGCGUAAAGAGCGUGUAGGCGGCCUGGUAAGUCCGCUGUGAAAGUCCAGGGCUCAACCCUGGAAUGCCGGUGGAAACUGUCAGGCUCGAGUCCGGAAGAGGCGAGUGGAAUUCCUGGUGUAGCGGUGAAAUGCGCAGAUAUCAGGAGGAACACCAUGGCGAAGGCAGCUCGCUGGACGUGACUGACGCUGAGACGCGAAGCUAGGGGAGCAAACAGG